rnacentral:rRNA from 1 species
AUGCAUGUCUAAGUAUAAGCAAUUUAUACUGCGAAACUGCGAAUGGCUCAUUAAAUCAGUUAUCGUUUAUUUGAUAGUACCUUACUACUUGGAUAACCGUGGUAAUUCUAGAGCUAAUACAUGCUAAAAACCCCGACUCGCGGAGGGGUGUAUUUAUUAGAUUAAAAACCAAUGCCCUUCGGGGCUCUUUGGUGAUUCAUAAUAACUUCUCGAAUCGCAUGGCCUUGCGCCGGCGAUGGUUCAUUCAAAUUUCUGCCCUAUCAACUUUCGAUGGCAGGGUCUUGGCCUGCCAUGGUUACAACGGGUAACGGAGGGUUAGGGCUCGACCCCGGAGAAGGAGCCUGAGAAACGGCUACUACAUCCAAGGAAGGCAGCAGGCGCGCAAAUUACCCAAUCCCGAUACGGGGAGGUAGUGACAAUAAAUACUGAUACAGGGCUCUUUUGGGUCUUGUAAUUGGAAUGAGUACAAUUUAAAUCCCUUAACGAGGAACAAUUGGAGGGCAAGUCUGGUGAGCCGCGGUAAUUCCAGCUCCAAUAGCGUAUAUUAAAGUUGUUGCAGUUAAAAAGCUCGUACUUGAACCUUGGGCCUGGCUGGCCGGUCCGCCUCACCGCGUGCACUGGUUCGGCCGGGCCUUUCCCUCUGGGGAACCCCAUGCCCUUCACUGGGUGUGGUGGGGAACCASGACUUUUACUGUSAAAAAAUUANAGYGUUCAAAGCAGGCCUAUGCUUGAAUACAUCAGCAUGGAAUMAUACAAUANGACNUGCGGUUCUAUUUUGNUGGUUUCUANGACCG